AAAUAUAAAUGUUCAAAACUUUUUGCUGUUCAAAAAUAAACUUUGUCAUUUUCAGGUUCAAAUGUUUUUUAGGUUUCAAAACUCAAAAUUUGACGGUUAAUAUGCUCAGAGGAAGUUUGAUCUUCAGAAGGUUUUUUACAUUUUUUUGUUGACACGUUAGACAUUACAAAGCAUUGUCUAUGUAUACAUGUGAAGACAAAAUGAAAUCAAUUUAAGAAUUAGUAAAGGAGAAAAAGAAGACAAAAAUAUAAUAUAAACCAAAUCAGCAAAAUUAAAUAUAUAUAACAUUAAAAUGAAAUUCCUGACUGUACUCCGAAAUCUAAUUACGGAAAAAUCACAUCAGUCCAGGUAAACUGGCAAAUUAUUUGAAAGUUUUGUGGCAUUUUUAUUUUUUAUAUUUUCUAGAGAUUUACAAAAAAGAUAAAGGUCGUUUUUUUUAAAAAAAAAACAAAAAACAACAACAUUGGACUGUCUUUCAAAAAUCGAGAUUUGCGAAUAAAAAAAAAUGACAAAAAAAUAUUAUAUUGUUUGUUUUUCAGAAAGUAUCUAUUCACAUUUAAUUUUCUAAACAGGACCAGUGUUGGACUUUUUCCACGGUCGCACAGACGCAGAGGAAACGUUAAGGUUCAACCACCACGUGGUUCCUGAAGGAGCUGAGUCUGCAGCUCACCGCUCCUCAAGGGUGUCCUGGGUCUACCCGGGCCUCCAUCUCCAGUGGGACAUGCCCAGAACAUCUCCCCAGGGAGGCGUCCAGACCAGAAGCCCGACCACCUCAACUGCUCCUCAGGACGUGGAGAAGAGGAUCUACUCCGAUCUCUCCGUUCGUUCGAUCCCGACUCAGACCUCAUGACCAUAGAUCAGUACUGGAACACAGACCAACCGGUAACGGGGAAUCUUCUCCAGCGGAGCUUCAGGUCUCCCUUCACCAGCGAGCACAGAGACCUGGAAUCCUGUUCUGGAGAGAGGUUCCUGUGACCUCUGCCCUGGAUCUGUGCAGCCUUGCUGUGACGGUAAACUCACGUCACUCCUGUGACAUGAGCGGAGAGCCGCAGCUUCAGCGCCUGCUGGACACACACGAACAGACAACAAACAAACAACACAAAAGUUCCCUCCUCUAAUGGAUGCAGCGUUCCUGGAAGUUCUGCUGCAUCCGGACCCAUCCCAGCCUCCCUCCUUCAGCCCCCUGCGCUCCUCCGUCGGUUUCUUGCCAGAAGCAACCGUCCGAAUGAACGGGCAGCCGUAAUCCAUGCAGACGUGAGCCACCGCGGCCUCUCAUCCACAGGUUAGCUGACGGCCAAUCAGUAAAUCCAAAGUGACUGGCGGGAGGAGAAGGAGGCGCUGCGUUUCCGAGUCCUGGGGGGCACAGAGGCUGUUCACUUCCUACAGAGGCGGGGGGGCAUGCUGAAAGCUGAAUUCUGGGUAACAUCUGCCUCAAACCAUCACGGCUGCAGACUGUAGCUGCAGAGCAGCAGGUCGGGUUUGCAGUCGGAUUCAGAUUUUCUCAGUAAAACAAACAUUUCACGGCUCUGUUUAUCCACUGAAAUGAGGAGAAUUCAAACCGAAUUCAUUCUUUUGAAGACAUUUAGCAAAAGGAGACACAAGAGUCACUCGAUAGCAGAAUGAUAAAUAUAGCUGACAGAUUUUAUAAAUCA